GUGCCAGCCGCCGCGGUAAUACGAAGGGGGCUAGCGUUGCUCGGAAUUACUGGGCGUAAAGGGAGCGUAGGCGGACAUUUAAGUCAGGGGUGAAAUCCCGGGGCUCAACCUCGGAACUGCCCUUGAUACUGGAUGUCUUGAGUGUGAGAGAGGUAUGUGGAACUCCGAGUGUAGAGGUGAAAUUCGUAGAUAUUCGGAAGAACACCAGUGGCGAAGGCGACAUACUGGCUCAUUACUGACGCUGAGGCUCGAAAGCGUGGGGAGCAAACAGGAUUAGAUACCCUGGUAGUCCACGCCGUAAACGAUGAUUGCUAGUUGUCGGGAUGCAUGCAUUUCGGUGACGCAGCUAACGCAUUAAGCAAUCCGCCUGGGGAGUACGGUCGCAAGAUUAAA
rnacentral:rRNA from 1 species